GCAGGUGGGGACACAGCUGACUGAGAGGAGCUGGUCAGACUGCUUCUGCUCUGUGGCUGACAUUCCUCACCGCAGCUACAAGGAAGGCCUUGCAAAGGAAACCACCCUGACUGCGCUGUGGGCCACAAACAGGAUCAAGACUGAAGAGAACUGAACUGAAGGGUCCUUUUACCUAAGUGAGAUGCUGGGGUGAGGAAGUUUCCAGGAUGGUG